rnacentral:rRNA from 1 species
GACGAACGCUGGCGGCGUGCUUAACACAUGCAAGUCGAACGGUAAGGCCCUUCGGGGUACACGAGUGGCGAACGGGUGAGUAACACGUGGGUGAUCUGCCCUGCACUUCGGGAUAAGCCUGGGAAACUGGGUCUAAUACCGGAUAGGACCCUGGGAUGCAUGUCCUGGGGUGGAAAGCUUUUGCGGUGUGGGAUGGGCCCGCGGCCUAUCAGCUUGGUGGUGGGGUGAUGGCCUACCAAGGCGACGACGGGUAGCCGGCCUGAGAGGGUGACCGGACACACUGGGACUGGGCUACGGCCCGGACUCCUACGGGAGGCGGAGGUGGGGAAGAUUGCACAAGGGGCGCAAGCCUGAUGCAGCGACGCCGCGUGAGGGAUGACGGCCUUCGGGUUGUAAACCUCUUUCAGCACCGACGAAGCGCAAGUGACGGUAGGUGCAGAAGAAGGACCGGCCAACUACGUGCCAGCAGCCGCAGUAA